AAACUGGGCUUUAGCCACAUUUUUCCCAAAACCGCUCUGCCACACAUAUGAGAAAAUGUGUGGCUAAAGGUCAUUUAUAAUAUUUUAAAAUACUUCUAGCCACACAAUUUAUUAUUAAUGUGACCAUUGUAUACCUGUUCGAAACCUUUAGCCACAUUUUUAAGAUAAAGUGUGACAUUUACUAGCAUGUCUAGCCACAGCUUAAAAAAUGUGGCCAAAUAUAACCUAUUGCCACAAUAUUUGUUUGAUUUUUUUAAUUAAUGUGACGGAAACACUUUUUUUUAAAACCUUUAGUCACACUUUUUAUAAAAAAAAAUAUGACAAUCACUAGCCACGAUAUAAAAGUGUGGCCAAAUAUUACUAACCGUCAUAAUAGGUUUUUAAUGAUGUGGUUAAAUGAUGAUUCAUAUAAACCACUUAAAGAGUAUUAUUUAUUUAGUCACUUAUAAGUUUUUUUAUGUGGCUAAAAAUUAUCAACUGUGACUGUAAAAAAAAUGUGGCUAUACUUAUUCUAUAAUCACACUUUAAUUACUUACGUGUCCAACCUUUUCACUCCUUAUCCCCUACAUUUCUCCUUCCCCAACCAUGUUCUCUGUUUCAACAAAGCUACCCAGUCUCUCUUUCACCAAAAACCCUAAUCCCUAAAUUCCAGUUUCACCCAAAAUUCAAUAUAAUAAGCCAUUUAUUCGAUGCGAUAUAACAAGGUCUAAAUGAACAUAUGCCAAUCGGAGAAAAGGAAGCUUAAAUCAAUGUAACAUAUUAAACCAUUUAUCCGAGGUCCGUUUCGAGGUGUCCGAAUGGUGGUAAUUCGGUUGUUGUUGUUUCUGGAGGUGGUGAUAGUGUGAAUUUGUUCUAAGAGGCGUGGGAGGUCUGUGUCUAAGAGAAAUUACGGUGAUGAUGUUGGUAGUGCAGCAAGGGUUGUUUCGGAUAGUGAUAGUGAUUGAGGAAUAGGCGGUCUAUUUCGGUUGUUCAGCAUCAGAUUAGUGGCUCCGAGGCUUUCUUACUAUCACUAGCUACAUAUGGUGAUUAUCUACAUGCUGGUUAAUUAUCCGCCUACUGGCUAUCCUCCAGCAGGCUAUCCUGGACCCUCUGCUUCACAUUAUCCAGUUUUGCUGCUUCACGACUCACGAGGUACAUGGUUUCCGACAACCGUAAAAGAACAUGCAUGCAGAAUCCAUAUAUAAAAACUAAAUAAUAUAACAGGUACGUGUACGCAGUUUAUUCGCAUGCCGGUCUGCAGCCUAUUCGCAGCCGGUCUGCAGCUUAUUUGCAGCCUGUUCGGAGCUGGUACGCAGGCCUGUUCGCCUACAUUUCAUACUCUUUGUGAAUAAUUAAUCAUCCAAUAGCAUCAAAGGAUUGGCAACCCUUAUCAUCAAGCAGUGGUGCAGCUUCAAUAGGGCUUUUACAAGUUAUGAAAUCUAUGGUGAUUACCCUAGAUAUCUAGCGUUAGAGAGACGGUUCCAGCCAGUUAAGAAAGGGCCUCAAUUUUUUUCCGGCUUUGGGCCUCCAAAUAGGUUGAGCCGACCCUAUUGAUUCAUUAAAAUUGUGUAUCAAAGUUACGAAGUAGCAGAUAGAUCAACUAAAGUUAAAGGAAUAUAAUUGCAUGCAUAGAAAGUUUGACUAAACCAGAGUUUAAUGAGAUGUUUACCAGCUGUUUCCAAAGUUUAGACUGUCGUGAGUGCUACUAUUUUUGAAGUUGAAGUUUGGAUGCAUUUUGAUGAUGAAAGAUGUGUUUGCUUUGAAUAUUGGUUUUUAGGUGAAACAAGAUGAACAAACAAAAGUGUUGGCUUAUAUAACUGUCCCAAAGAAGCUUUGUAAUAGUUGUUGGAAUGGCUGGACUGCUUGAUUAUUUAUUUAUAUAACAUCAUUUUUUCAUAUUUCCAUAUCA